rnacentral:rRNA from 1 species
UACGUAGGGCGCAAGCGUUGUCCGGAAUUAUUGGGCGUAAAGAGCUCGUAGGCGGCUUGUCACGUCGGUUGUGAAAGCCCGGGGCUUAACCCCGGGUCUGCAGUCGAUACGGGCAGACUAGAGUGCUGUAGGGGAGACUGGAAUUCCUGGUGUAGCGGUGAAAUGCGCAGAUAUCAGGAGGAACACCGGUGGCGAAGGCGGGUCUCUGGGCAGUAACUGACGCUGAGGAGCGAAAGCGUGGGGAGCGAACAGG